CUCUGUCUCCACUUCCUCCUCCUCCCUCAAGAGAGGCACGAUCGAGCUGUCCUCUUCCGGCACACGUUUCUGUUGAAAAAAUAUUUCAUUAGACUCUUAUUUGUUUCAGAUUUUUCAUCAUCAAAUCAUACGAGAGAGAGAGAGAGAGAACUUGCUCAACAGAUUCACUACUCAAAACUGAAAGCUUGUACGAGUGAGAGAGAGCAUACGAGGGGGCAUGUGCAAUUGGAGCGUGCUGUACUCAACUCCCCAGAGGUUUACCAGCAGCACAACGCUGACAUUUGAUUCAUUUUCUCACCUCACAACUCGGUUUCCGGUCUCAUAAGCAGUUGUGCUCUCGUGAGGGAAACAUACCUGCUUCGAGAGAAGCAUAGCCGAGGAGCUAGCUAAGCUGAGACGAUACCUGAGCUGAGACAACCACAGUCGAGGAGCUACCUGAGCUGAGAGAAGCAUAGCCGAGGAGAUAGCUGUCAUUUCGUCAAAUCAACACAUAUAUGAGCUGUCGAACGGAAUCAUUUGAUGAAUAUAUAAGCUCAGUAUAUAUUAUAAAUAGACAUUUUAAUGAAUUACGUAAAUAUGAUUCUGUUUCUUUAGAAAAAAUGGCGAGAAUACAAAGUUAUCGUUGUGAACUAACUGAACUAUUGGAGAUGCAUCAGCAAUUAUUGGACCAGUUAGCAGAAAAAGGAUGGACAAAUAUGAAAUAUCUAACAUUUGUGAGAGACUAUGAAAAAUUAGGAGUUUGGCAUAGUGAUAACUAUAAUCAUAUUUCAGUUUGUGAUUUAUACGGUACAUCAUAUGAUGCUUA
rnacentral:lncRNA from 1 species